CCCGCCGCAGCCACCCACUUGCCUUCUCCUCUUUUUCCCCACCGCACCAAUCAGCAGCCUCUCUUCCUCGAUCCAAACCCGCAGCUUGCCACAACUCCUCCUCAAUUUCCACGCCGACCAACCUCCGUAAUUUACUCCGGACGCCACCCACCACCUCCGGCUGGUCUCCAGAACACCCGAGCUCCACCUCCUCGUCCCCGUGUCCGCAGCAGUAGAGCAGGAGCCCUCGCGUCGAGCCUCCUCUCGUCCAGGAGCCCGAGCUCCUCGAUCCCUCCUCCAGCGCACCUCCUCGCUUCCUCGAUCCAUGGAGACGAGCUCCUCCUGAACCAGACGCCAUCGUUGCACCAGCUCAACCCCGCUGCACCUCCGCCUCAACUCCGGUCGGAUCGGCUCCAGUCCCUGCCUCCCCCGCUUUGAUCCGGCAGGUAAAGGGACCCCGAAGACCUCCCGCGCUUGGUCCGGACGCCACCGAGCUCCCGCGCCGACCUCUCCUCACCCCACUGCUCGCCGGAGUUGCACCUGUGCCCGCCUCGCCCAGUUGUGUCCUCUGCUUCAAAUGAUAGGACGAGCGUCGCUCGCAUUGACCGCGCCCAGUCGCCACGCUAGUGCAUCAGUGCCUCGUCCACUCAUCGUCUUUGCCGCCCGUGGGCCUCCCCUGCCCCACGGCUUGCAUCCGCCCCUGCCGGCCUCACCUCACCUCCGAAGUGGGUCAUGGCCCAUGUUCUGGAGAUGUUGCAAAUGUGAGGAUUCGUUCGACUACGCCCGCUUGUCUUCUUCAUGGACUCAUUCUUCUUCCU